rnacentral:lncRNA from 1 species
GGGAGACAUUUCCUAGCAGUUGCAGCACAGGUGUAUACAGUCAUACAUCACACAGUUCCAAAGCACUAAGCACCCAGUGACUACUUUUCUGAUACCCCAUCUCCUGCCAAAAAUAAUGGUAAGAAGAUAAAAAAAUCAAACGUUUGUUAAACAGAUGUUUACCCAAUAAAUAAAUAAGGAGUGUUUGUAUGCGUCUGAGAGCCAAAUGAAUAGAGAUUCCAUGAUACAGUUCUUAAAAGAUAACACUAAAACUAAACCACAAAAUUAUCAAAUACCUGUUAAUAGCUCCUAAAUCAUGAUGUUUAAAAUGAAGAAAACAGUCCUAAAAUGUGUUUUAAGUGACAUCAUUUAAUGAUCAGUGCUCUGCUUGUAGAAAUAAUUUUGCUGUAAAAAUCAACAAUGAGGUCAACGCCUUUUGAAAGUAGAGUAGGAAACCAAUAUAAAACAUACUGCAGGGUUUUCAUUCCUCUGAAGCUAUCGCCACCCAAUGCUACAGGGCCUCUGCAAAGCUGGAGCAAUUUUUGUCUAAGAAUAGAGAAAAUAUUGUUUUGAAAAUAUACUACAUACAUGAACCUUAAUGAGAAAUGAAUGUGAGUGUUACCUUCAUUAGAUCCCCUUAUUAAGCCCUGCACAUUUCUGAUAUGUGGAUGUUGUAAUCAGUGUCAACCAUGACUUUGACCUCCCUUAUCACCACCAUCCCCUACAUUGCCUCUAAGGACUCUCUUAUUUACAAUCUCCCCAAUUGCAGAGGAAGCAAAAUGAUAAUAAAAGCGUCUUAUUUAUAUGAACAUGCUGUGGACCCAGUGCAUUAUUUUUUUCCCAGGGAUACUUAGAUUUUAAGGUAGUGCAAUAGGGCAGACAUGGGCUGGGAGGAUAAGUUUUUAUUGUUUUGGUUUGGUUUGGUUUGAUUUUGUUUUUAACAAGAUUAUCUAAAUCCCAAAUGAUACCACUUUCCCCUAGUCCCAGUAUUUCCAGAAUCAUUAAUCAUCAAAGCAAUACUCAUUGACCUACCAGUUAAUUUGGGUUAUCUGAUCAUCAAGAUGCUGUGUUUUAGAAUAAGAGAGUCAGAGCUUUAUUAUUCAUCAUUCACCCUAGUCCUCUGCUUUUUUUAUGUUUAUAAACAUACAAUUAAUUCUAAUAGUUCUUUCUGGUUUCUUAUUGUUUGAAGUGGUGUGUGGUUAGGAGUUGGUUUCUGCAUCAUUCAAGGAAAUCUGACAAAAUAUUCAAUAUUCAGAAUAAGUUAAAAGAACCUAGUGCAAUCAUUAGGGCAGUAGAAGUUGUGACCUCAUCCAUACGCACAAAAACACAAAUACAUACAUACAUACAUACAUACAUACAUACAUACAUACACACAACACACAUAAUACAACAUACAUACAUACAUACAUUCCUUUAGUCUGUUGGUACUUUUGACAGGAAAUGGUUUAGGAGUUGAAAGAGGCUUGGUGUCUGUGUUGAAGAUCUGGGGGAGGUUACAGAAGGUUAAUUUGUCUUUUUCUUUCACUCUGAGUGAAUGGCUAAGCUGGAAGAACAUGGUAAUCAAUCUGAAGAAGUCAAAUAAUAUCCAAUGGCUAAAGCUUAUGGAUCAUUAAAAUGUCAGUGGUUUGAAUGAUACUUUUUCAAGAAACUGGGGGUCUUCCUUGUUACUUUACAUACACAAAAACUUCAGCAGCCCUGGAGUGAGCCCAGAGCUUCAGAUUCAAGCUUGCCCAAAACUAAAUGACUUCUAGUCCUCUUUUAAUGCUAGGCACAAGCAUUGUCUAUUCUUAAAUAUCAGCCCAAUCAAUUAGGGUAUGUUUCUAAAAAUUUAACCUGCAUUUAUGUCACUAAAAUCUUAACCCAAAAUUUAAAAAACAUGUCUCAUAUGUGUGCUGUACUAGGCUUCAUGAUGCAUUUCUAAAUUUGUGUAUCAUUUGAAUAUAUGAAAGAAUUUAUACAAGAGUGUUAUUUAAAAUUAUUAAUAAAUGUAUAUAAUUUG